rnacentral:rRNA from 1 species
GAGUUUGAUCAUGGCUCAGAACGAACGCUGGCGGCAGGCUUAACACAUGCAAGUCGUACGAGAACGUCUCGCUUCGGCGAGGCUAGUAAAGUGGCGCACGGGUGAGUAACGCGUGGGUAAUCUACCCUUGGGUACGGGAUAACGUCUCGAAAGGGGCGCUAAUACCGUAUAAGACCACAGCAACCCCGGUUGCAGAGGUAAAGACGGGCCUCUACAUGUAAGCUCGCGCCUGAGGAUGAGCCCGCGUCCCAUUAGCUUGUUGGUGAGGUAACGGCUCACCAAGGCCGCGAUGGGUAGCUGGUCUGAGAGGAUGAUCAGCCACACUGGGACUGGAACACGGCCCAGACUCCUACGGGAGGCAGCAGUGAGGAAUCUUGCGCAAUGGGGGAAACCCUGACGCAGCCAUGCCGCGUGGGUG